GGUGAACGCUGGCAGCGUGGAUAAGGCAUGCAAGUCGAGCGGGUUUAGACCCGCGGCAAACGGGUUAGUAACGCGUAGGGAAUAUACCCGGAUGUGGGGCAUAACUUACCGAAAGGUAAACUAAUUCCCCAUGGUCUCGUGGACUUAUAGGUUCAUGAGUAAAGCUCCGGCGCGUCCGGAAUAUCCUGCGUCCUAUCAGCUUGUUGGUGAGGUAAUGGCUCACCAAGGCAACGACGGGUAGGGGGUGUGAGAGCAUGUCCCCCAACAUUGGAACUGCGACACUGUCCAAACACCUACGGGUGGCUGCAGUCGAGAAUCUUCCACAAUGGGCGAAAGCCUGAUGGAGCGACGCUGCGUGCAGGAAGAAGGCCUUCGGGUUGUAAACUGCUGUCGUAUGGGAAGAACUUUGACGGUACCAUACAAGAAAGGGGCACCUAAUCUCGUGCCAGCAGGUGCGGUAAUACGAGAGCCCCAAGCGUUACCCGAAAUUAUUGGGCGUAAAGCGUCCGCAGGCGGGAGUGUUAGUCUACUGUUAAAGCCAUGGGCUCAACCCAUGAUCUGCAGUGGAAACGGCACUUCUAGAGGCAGGUAGAGGUAAGCGGAACUCCUGGUGAAGCAGUGAAAUGCGUUGAUAUCAGGGGGAACACCAAUUGCGAAGGCAGCUUACCGGUCCUGUCCUGACGCUGAGGGACGAAAGCGUGGGUAGCGAAGCGGAUUAGAUACCCGCGUAGUCCACGCCGUAAACGAUGCCGACUAGGCAUUGGGAGUAUCGACCCUCUCAGUGUCGAAGCUAACGCGUUAAGUCGGCCGCCUGGGUAGUACGAGCGCAAGCUUAAAACUCAAAGGAAUAGACGG
rnacentral:rRNA from 1 species